rnacentral:rRNA from 1 species
AUUGACCUCGGAUCAGGUAGGGAUACCCGCUGAACUUAAGCAUAUCAAUAAGCGGAGGAAAAGAAACCAACAGGGAUUGCCUCAGUAACGGCGAGUGAAGCGGCAACAGCUCAAAGUUGAAAUCUGGCCCCGUCGGGGUCCGAGUUGUAAUUUGUAGAGAGUGUUUCGGGUGAGACCACGGUCUAAGUCCAUUGGAACAUGGCGUCAUAGAGGGUGAGAAUCCCGUCUGCGACCGUGGCUCGAGCCCAUGUGAAGCCUCCUCGACGAGUCGAGUUGUUUGGGAAUGCAGCUCAAAAUGGGUGGUAAAUUUCAUCUAAAGCUAAAUACUGGCUGGAGACCGAUAGCGCACAAGUAGAGUGAUCGAAAGAUGAAAAGCACUUUGGAAAGAGAGUCAAAAAGUACGUGAAAUUGUUGAAAGGGAAGCGCUUGCAACCAGACCUGUCCGUAGGUGAUCAGCCGCUGUUCUCAGCGGUGCACUCGCUCUGCGAUCAGGCCAGCAUCGGUUUCGGCGGUCGGAUAAAGGCCCUGGGAAUGUAGCUUCCUCCGGGGAGUCUUAUAGCCCUCGGUGCAAUGCGGCCAGCCGAGACCGAGGACCGCGCUUCGGCUAGGAUGCUGGCGUAAUGGUUGUAAGGCGACCCGUCUUGAAAACACGGACCAAGGAAGUCUAACAUCUAUGCGAGUGUAUGGGUGUCAAACCCAUGCGCGGAAUGAAAGUGAACGGAGGUGAGAACCCUUUAGGGCGCAUCAUCGACCGAUCCAGAUGUCUUCGGAUGGAUUUGAGGUAGGAGCAUAGCUGUUGGGACCCGAAAGAUGGUGAACUAUGCCUGAAUAGGGUGAAGCCAGAGGAAACUCUGGUGGAGGCUCGCAGCGGUUUCUGACGUGCAAAUCGAUCGUCAAAUUUGGGUAUA